CACCGCGGGCUUUUAAAGACAUUUUUGUUUGUUUGUUUUUAUUUUAUUUGCGGCUUCUGUAUAAAAACUAGCGGUUUAAGUUGUACACAAACACGCUUUUGAAUUGCCGCCAGCUAAAUAUUAAGAUCGGGAUGAAAGCGUAAAAUGAUGAUCUCGUAAACAUAUGAAAAUACGGGAUUAAGAACAGGAUUUCCUAAUCGUAGACACUGUUGGCUGAAGAAAUUGUUUUAAACAUUUUAACGGACAGUUUGGGUGAUGAAUUGCCCAUCAAGGACGUUCUACCUUGGACAGCAUCCUAUAACGAAGAAAAAUGGAUUGCCUUUGGAUGAAAAACCAACAACUAGACGUUCGAGCCGUCUCCAUCACGCGCAGCCCUCUGAACGUGGACUACAGAAGAGGGGAUGCUUUAACAGCACUUCUACUAUGCAAAAUGAGAUGAAACAGUUGAUGCCUGUUGAUUCAACUUCAGUGAAGGAUGCAGGGAAUAUAAAAGAGUCUAAAUUGACUAAAGG